rnacentral:rRNA from 1 species
AUACGGAGGGUCCAAGCGUUAUCCGGAAUCAUUGGGUUUAAAGGGUGCGCAGGCGGUUUAUUAAGUCAGUGGUGAAAUCUCGGGGCUCAACCUCGAAACUGCCAUUGAUACUGAUAAACUUGAGUUCAGUUGGAGUAGGCGGAAUGUGUAGUGUAGCGGUGAAAUGCUUAGAUAUUACACAGAACACCGAUAGCGAAGGCAGCUUACUAAACUGAUACUGACGCUGAGGCACGAAAGCGUGGGGAGCGAACAGGAUUAGAAACCCGAGUAGUCC